rnacentral:rRNA from 1 species
AGUUUAAAGAAGUGUUUUCUGUUGAAGUUUUGGUACAAGUUCUUUGGAAUAGGACAUCAUAGAGGGUGAGAAUCCCGUAUUUGACCUUAAUUUUUCAACUUUGUGAUACACUUUCAAAGAGUCGGAUUGUUUGGGAAUGCAGUCCAAAAUGGGUGGUAAAUUUCAUCUAAGGCUAAAUAUUGGCGAGAGACCGAUAGCGAACAAGUACCGUGAGGGAAAGAUGAAAAGAACUUUGAAAAGAGAGUUAAAUAGUACGUGAAAUUGUCAAAAGGGAAGCGUUUGGCACCAGUGUUGUUUUUCUAAAAAUCAAUUUAAAAUUUGCUUAUGUUAAGUGUUUUAGACUUAAUCGGCUAUACAUUUAAUUCUUUGUAAAUUUUGAAUGCACUUUUUAGUUAACAAGUCAACAUCAAUUUUUUUUGCUGUAAAAAAGUAAGAGGAAGGUGGCUUGGGAUUCGUUUCAAGUGUUUAUAGCCUCUUGCCCAUGCAGUAGGAGAGAUUGAGGUCUGCAGCAUAGAUCCUUCGGGGCUAGAUGCUUUUGUGCUAGAAGCUAGUAUUAUAUAGACAACUUGUUGAUUAUGUAAUAUAUUAGUUUCUACUCGCUAAAGUUAUUUUACCUAUGCUUAGGAUGUUGACAAAAUGGUUUUAAACGACC